UAAUCAAAGAGUGUGGGCAGGACCAGAUGCCACACACAACCCCCCCUCCUCCUUCUGUGUUUAGGCUACUUGGUUCAGCUACAGCUGUGGAAGUUAUGUAGAGUUGCUGCAACACCUGAUUGUGUUAACCACAGUGUAGUAAAGAACAACCGUGUCCCUUCAAAACCUGGACUGCAUGAUGCCCCUGUGCAGGACUGUGAUCAGCAGAUGCUGUUUGAGAUUCUGCAGCAUGUUGGAAGCCAGAUCGGCUCUUACCCAGAGGCUCGCCGAGGUACACGACAUCAGCUUGUUACUUCUGGGGAAGAGGAAUCGCAGGAUUUCUUGUACGCAUGUUUGUGUGUGGAAAAGUUUGAGGUUGAGGCUGAAGCUCCAGCAAACAGAUCAAGGCUCUGCUGGAGGAACUAAAAUAGGAACUGGUUAGUAGUUCAUUUAAAAAAAAAAACAUUUAUAUGAAGAGAAAAACUUGCUCAUGUUACUGUGCUUGUACAUGUUUGUACGCCUUUGCAAGCCUCUGUACAUGUCUAUACGUUCUGCUUUGCAUAUGUGUGUGUGUGUGUGUGUGUGUGUGUCUCAGAGGUGUAGUAAAGGCAGGGAGUGGUGGUGUGGGGGAAGUAAAGGCAGACUAAUGGGUAUUAUACUAAUGGGCAGCAGCAGUACGACUAUUCAGGCAAUUAGAGCAGGAAAGAGAAAGAGCGAGGAUUGGUGAUGAUGGACCUGGAGUGACUGCUACCCCUGAACUAAUGAACACAACAGAUAUAGACCAUCAUGUACGCUGGACGUUAAAGUGAUUUUUCACUUUAAAAGGUAAAACAUUUUAGGAGAUUCCAGCGGCCAUUCCAGUGGACAUGAAUAGAAAGAGCAGGUAAAGUAGUGCUGUACUGUGAGUGAUGGUGCGUUUGAUGUUAAAUGUGAAGAGACUUACUGUACAUAGUAUUAGUAUCAAAUGUAAUAAAUUUUCUUUUAAAACAACUCUGAUUAUUUUGGUUUC